AUAACAGUAAUCAAUAUAUUAAAAUAGUAUAGUACAUAAAAAAUUAUUUUUUUUAAUCAAAAAAUUAACAAUAUUAAUUAUUUAGUUAAUAACAUUAUAAAAAAUAAGCACCAAUUUAUGUUAAAAAAUAAAGUAUAGAAACUAAAAUUUAAUCAUUUUGGUAAAAGGAUAUAAAGAUUAAAGUUUAGUUGUAACUUGUAAGCAUAAUAGAGGGAUAAAAUGAUAUUCAACCAUUAUCAUAUAAAAAUAAAUACAUAUUACAUAAUAGUAUAAUACCAAACUCAUAUAUUGCACGAGAUAAUAAACUAGUUAUUUAACUACGCUAGCCUUGUGAUAGCAACUUGAUUGGGCCCGCUAUUUUUUUGCCUCAAUAGCUUGUUUCUGCAAUAAAACAAAGUAAAAACAAAAAAGAUGAGAUUAAAAUUAUGAAUAACAUGUACAAAAUACAAUGGGAAAUGUUACUACUGCAAGAAGUGAAGUAAUAAUGGAAUGAGCAAAGAGUUGUCAGCAUCUACGCCCCUAGAAGAUAUAAACUGGAGUUUGAUUUCUAGAUAAGUGAUAGGUGAAUACAAUACUCGACUAAGCAUGGAACAUAAAAAAACACACUGCUUUCUUCCUGUUAUUGAUCAACCAAAACAGAGAAACAUGCUAACCUCAUAUACUAUAAUGACAUAUCUUAAUACAAGAAAUUAUACAUGUAAACAAGUAUAUUUGCAUGCUUAUUCGAAAUUACUUAAACAAUUAUAAUAUACAUAUUAUAAAUCCAAUCCAAAGGUUUAUACAUGUAUAUACCUAUGCAUUUAUUCGAACCUUAUGUACACAUAUAUAUACAUACCUUUGAUUAAACCAAUAAUUUAUACAUGUAUAUACAUGUGUGAAUUCGAACCUUGUAUAUAUAUAUAUAUAACCUUUAUACUUCAACUAAAUUCAAUAACAUUUUAAGCUUCCAAUGAAUUAGUGUGCUACAUUAUGGUAAACAUUUUUCAAGGAAAAAUUCCAAAAUGUCAUAUCAUUAAAUUGAUCACUUUUAGAGAAAUAAUAACCAUGGAUUGAUAGUUUUGGACUAAAAUGAACAAGUGGCUUGACUGAUGAAGUGUGACCAGAAAAAAGUAGUAUAUUUUGUAUUGAAGAAAAUUGGUUACUAUUUUUAUUCCAGACCCUUUGUUCUUUAAUAUUCACUUUCUCUGUUUUAUCCUUACUGAAAAAAUCUUCUUCGAGUAUAAGCAGAGUUACUAAUAAUAAUGGUAAGAACAUAUUUUUGUUUGUUAUUUUUGGUGCCUCAAUCUGGUUUCUCAUUCAUGUUAUAAAUAAUAAAGUGAAACAAAAAAAUGAUGUUAUGUUUUUUUAAUCUUAUGGAUAUAGAUACAGUUAAAACAUUUAGUAGUUAAAAUAUUCAUUUGCAGCUGAAGAUGUUGAAGCUAGAACCUGUAAGAUGAAAUUUCAGAUAGAACCCACUUUGCCAAUAUAUCUUAAGGUAAACAACCAAUGAGUGAUGUUUUGUUCUUUGGUUCAUCGUCAUCAUCAUUUAGUUAUAUAUGCAAACAACAAUCUUCAGGUCUUGAAAAGCAAAAUAAAUAAAUAAAGUGUGUGCUUGUUAAUGGUGCAUGGAUUAAUUUUGGGUACCAUAUGUAUUUGGACAGGCAAGAGAUGGAGAAUUGUGUAAAGAUCAACGAACAUGGCUAACAUUGUCAGGUUCUGUCUUGUACGGAGUUUAGUCUCAUCUUAGCAUGGACAAGACUCUCCCCAAGAUUUUGUUUCAUGUUGCAUAAGAUGUAAAGUGUAAACACAAACAAACAAAAUGUAUAUGAUAUGUUGAAUCAAGGUUUUGUUUCAUGUCUUGUAAGUGCAGUCCACAGAUGUAAAGUGUAAACACAAACAAAAUCCCCCAAGAUUUAGUGUCUCAAAAUCAAAAUCAGAACACCGUUAACAGCAAAAAUCAAAAUCACAACCAACAUCAAAAAGCAAAAAAGGGAGAAGACGUUAAAAAAUUAGGAAACCGUUAACAGCAAACUCACCUUUGAAAUUCAAAGGUAGAAGAUGUUGAAGGCUAGAUUCGCUGGAAGCACCGUUAGAGCGGAGGUGGAGUCAUGGAAGGCCGGUCACCAGAGGUGGAAUGGUGGAUCAGGCGAGGUGGGUUUCCGAUUUGGGGCAAAGAAAAGGAAGGGAAGGCGUUAGGUUAGGGAUUUAUCAGAGAUGGGAAAUGGGGAGGGGAAUUGGGAACGGGAAAUGUUAAAUUGUUA
rnacentral:lncRNA from 1 species